UCAGCCCUAGGAGGGUGGGGGGGGGCUCAGCAAGAGUUGAGUCUCAAGACUGAGAUGGCCGGCAGGAUGUGUAGAGCGGUGAAGCCUAAGAUGGAGGAGAUGUUGCCCCACCUGACUCAGAGUAAAGGUUCCAAAUUCCAAGGGUAGAAGAGCUGUCGUCCUUUCUUGGCACUGAAGCUGACUCUCUGGAACAGAUCCUGUGCUCUCUCAUCUGCACCACUCAGCUCAGCCUCCCUGAGCAGGGAAGGGAUGAAGAAGACCAGAACACUGAGAGGCCUCGCAAUCAGACAAAAGAUCCUCAAAGGAGCAGGAAGAUGCUAGGGGAUGACCAAAGGAGAGGAGACAGAACCCUGAAGCAUCCUACCCAAGAGCUACAAGAGAACCUUGGGAAGAAAGUGAGAUUUGCUCCUCAGCAUCCCUGAAUGUCCUGGGAAGACAGGCAGGCAGACAAUGGAAGAUUUUCCAAUCAUCAGAACCCCCAGUAGGACCUGGAGCAUAACCUCUCUCUCAGAGGUCCAGGAGAAGGGAUCCCCCAUAAAGAUGGGAGGGUGAGACAAAUUUCAGAGUCCUUUCAAUGUUCUAAGGCUGUCAUGAUCAAUUUUUGGGUUUCUGGUAAGUUUUGCAUGAAUAUAACGUAGCCUCCUGGAUUCCUCUGUAUACUGUGUUCACGUGACCUGUGUGUCUCUUCACACAGAACUCAAAGGAAACCCACAUCUAGAGAAAAACAAGUUUCAA